CCAAUAGCGUAUAUUAAAGUUGUUGCAGUUAAAAAGCUCGUAGUUGAAUUUCGGGAUCAAUAUAUCGGUCGUGCCUUGGUACGUACUGGUAUCAUUGGUUUCUCCCUUCUGACGAACCAUGAUGUCAUUAAUUUGGUGUCAUGGGGAAUCAGGACUGUUACUUUGAAAAAAUUAGAGUGUUUAUAGCAGGCUCACGCUUGAAUACAUUAGCAUGGAAUAAUGAAAUAGGACGUUUGACCCUAUUUUGUUGGUUUCUAGGAUCGACGUAAUGAUUAAUAGGGAUAGUUGGGGGCAUUAGUAUUCAAUUGUCAGAGGUGAAAUUCUUGGAUUUAUUGAAGACUAACUACUGCGAAAGCAUUUGCCAAGGAUGUUUUCAUUAAUCAAGAACGAAAGUUAGGGGAUCGAAGACGAUCAGAUACCGUCGUAGUCUUAACCAUAAACUAUGCCGACUAGGGAUCGGAUGAUGUUAAUUUUUUAAUGACUCAUUCGGCGCCUUACG
rnacentral:misc_RNA from 1 species